rnacentral:lncRNA from 1 species
AUUCUCAUCCCUCUUCUCAUCCCCAGAGACUAACCCUAGGUCAGCAGAAGGUCAAGCCCUGCCCGAAGUUAGAGGUCAGGGGUUAAAGGUCAUGUCCUGUUGACCCUGCGUGUGAGAUAAGCAGGCGAAGCUGGGAGCAGUGAGCCCCUGGUGGACGGACCUGGCUGUGGACCACGGUUGUUAUUGGCAGCUUGUCAGGCUGAGCAGAGCUGGACAGCAGGAGGCUGUGAGGCUCAGCCCUGUGGAUUCCUAAUGGCCUUCCUUGCAUUGUUCUGGCAGGGCAGUUCAUCAGAGAUUUUGGAGGCCAUGGCAAGAUUCACGCAGAGACGGGAAUUCAGAAGAAGAUGUGAUUGGUCGCUUGGUAAGAGCCCUUCUCUCUCUUUCUGAUGAAUAGAUGUUUUAUAUUAUGGCUAUGUGCAGUGUUGUAAUAAUGUGUAAAUAGUAAAUAAAUAAAGAUA